rnacentral:rRNA from 1 species
GACGAACGCUGGCGGCGUGCUUAACACAUGCAAGUCGAACGGAAAGGCCCUGCUUUUGUGGGGUGCUCGAGUGGCGAACGGGUGAGUAACACGUGAGUAACCUGCCCUUGACUUUGGGAUAACUUCAGGAAACUGGGGCUAAUACCGGAUAGGAGCUCCUGCUGCAUGGUGGGGGUUGGAAAGUUUCGGCGGUUGGGGAUGGACUCGCGGCUUAUCAGCUUGUUGGUGGGGUAGUGGCUUACCAAGGCUUUGACGGGUAGCCGGCCUGAGAGGGUGACCGGCAACAUGGGGACGGAGAUACGGCCCAGAAUCCAACGGGAGGCAGCAGUGGGGAAUAUUGCACAAUGGGCGGAAGCCGGAUGCAGCAACGCCGCGUGCGGGAUGACGGCCUUCGGGUUGUAAACCGCUUUCGCCUGUGACGAAGCGUGAGUGACGGUAAUGGGUAAAGAAGCACCGGCUAACUACGUG